UCUCUCCUAGUACAGUGGUUAGCAUACUUCAUUUUGUAUGGAUAAACCUAGGUUCGAUUCCUGGAAAAAGUA